rnacentral:misc_RNA from 1 species
AUUGUGAAGAUCAUGUUGACUAAUGUAAGCACAAGUUCUCCGAGGAAUGAACUCAUGCAAUUCAUGACCACAGUAGGUGAUUUUCCCAAUUUCCUUUAAAUUCGGAUCAAGUUUCCCAGCAAGUGCAAGCAACAAUGUUGUUUUCCCAGCACCUGGGGGACCAAGCAGUAGGGUCAUCCUCGACGGUUUGACGAUUCCACUGAUAUCUUGAAGAAUCUGGAUUUUUCUCUUUUUUGAUGGAGCAAGCCGAAUCAAACCAAGAAUGUUCUCAAUCCCGUUUAGAGUAGCGUAAAACAGGGUAGGAAGAGCUCUGCUCCCUAUA